rnacentral:rRNA from 1 species
CCCUUAGAUGUUCUGGGCCGCACGCGCGCUACACUGAUGCAUUCAACGAGUUUCUUCCUGGUCCGAGAGGAAUGGGUAACCUUUUGAAAGUGCAUCGUGAUAGGGAUAGACUAUUGCAAUUAUUGGUCUUCAACGAGGAAUUCCUAGUAGACGUAGUUCAUCAGACUGCAUCGAUUACGUCCCUGCCCUUUGUACACACCGCCCGUCGCUCCUACCGAUUGAAUGCUCAGGUGAGCCAUUCGGACUUUCAUCAUGCUGGUUCCAGUUUUGAUGAAGGAAAGUCUUGCGAACCUUAUCAUUUAGAGGAAGGAGAAGUCGUAACA